rnacentral:rRNA from 1 species
UACGGAGGGGGCUAGCGUUGUUCGGAAUUACUGGGCGUAAAGCGCACGUAGGCGGCGCGACAAGUCAGAGGUGAAAGGCCUGGGCUCAACCUGGGAACUGCCUUUGAUACUGGCGUGCUUGAGUCUGGAAGAGGGUGGCGGAAUUCCCAGUGUAGAGGUGAAAUGCGUAGAUAUUGGGAGGAACACCGGUGGCGAAGGCAGCCACCUGGUCCGGUACUGACGCUGAGGUGCGAAAGCGUGGGGAGCAAACAGG